UUCAUCAGGACAUCGAGCAGUGUAAGGAUGCACUAUAUUGGCAGAGUAGGUCGAAUGACCUUCUGUAGCCUGCAUGAAGCUGGGAAGAUGGCAGAUGGUUGAGACUUGUUUUGUACAUGAUGUUGACAUUUAUCUCAUUGCAAACUUUCGCAUUUUGUGCAGUUUCAAGUUUGUCAUAUAACAAAAAACUGGACUUGUCCGAAGAGGAAGAUGUGAAGAAAAAGUCUUCCAAUCUAGUGGAGUUAAGGUUGACUACAAUGCUGGUCUCUAAAGCAGCUAAAAAGGACUUGGUAGAAAGGAAUGGGGAGGUCUUAGCAGCAGAGAAACGGCUCAAAAAGGCUGAAAGGCGCUUGCAAGAGGCGAAAAGCCGAGCAGGAGAGGCAGAAAGGUCUGUCAAAGUAUUUGAAAUACUGGGUGAAAAGAUUCAUCAGGACAUCGAGCAGUGUAAGGAUGCACUAUAUUGGCAGAGUAGGUCGAAUGACCUUCUGUAGCCUGCAUGAAGCUGGGAAGAUGGCAGAUGGUUGAGACUUGUUUUGUACAUGAUGUUGACAUUUAUCUCAUUGCAAACUUUCGCAUUUUGUGCAGUUUCAAGUUUGUCAUAUAACAAAAAACUGGACUUGGUUUUGUAUGUAAUGUGAUGUGCAUGAUUGGAAAAGAUUAUAAGGUUACUGUGUACUGUCUAAAGGAAGACUAAUACCAUGGUCUCUACAACACCAUGAACAAUUGGGGUGAUGUGCUCAGUGUCUUUCUUUAGUUUUUUUUUGAAAAGGAG
rnacentral:lncRNA from 1 species